CGACUGUAAAUGAGAUUUGUAGGCAAUUUCGUCAAGGGUUUUCUGUAGAUAUAUUAAGGGUUCUUCGAAUAUUUGAGAAGAAGAAAUCGAGGUCUCAAAGAAAGAUAUAGGUAACAACAGUGAAAUGCUACUUUCCCAUAUCUAUCUAUACACUUGUAGAUAUAUACCAAAUAGUAAAAAACGAGAAAGUUAACAGUAGUGAACCAAUUUAGGUGUGAACUGGAGGUUUCAAGAAUGAACAGUAAAUUGGGAUUCACUCUUUUAAAGCAGAGGGGAUUACUUCAAAUAUUUGAACAUUAAGAAUUACCUUUACAUAAUGCAUGAAAUACAACUUCCAGUUCAUUCGUAUGAUUCUCCUUCAGGCUUACUAAAAGUGAAACUUUAUUUAAACAAUUUUUUCCUGAAAAGGAAGUACAACUGUAAAACAAUAGAAAACUUGUACAUAAACUGAGCAGAAAUCUAAAAGAUGAAUAAUUUUCUUUUAAUAAACAUUACUAAGCAAAGACUAUAUAUCUAUGGCAACAGAAAUGCAAAAUAUUUUACUCCCUAACCAAAGUUUCCCAAAGCUAAAACAAAAAGAAAGAAGAAAUAGAACACUUAAAAUAUAGUCAGAGAAAAAAUCAAAAGACUAUACGCCAUAAAGUAAAGCAGAUAUAGAACAACUUUAAUUUUUGAAGAAAUUACCACAAAAAUCCAUAGGAACACAAAUGGGAAUUGAAAAGUGACAAACAAACAGUAACAAAAAUACGAAACUCGAAAAUCGUGGACAAGGAUAAACAAGAGAAUAACGUACUUGAGGUCAGCAUGAUCCACUUUGUGUGGGUUUCUGAAAGAAUCUCAAAUCUCCAAACAAAGGUAGAAGGAAAAGGUAGAUGGCUACAGUGUACUUCAUGUCAAGAAAUCCCCUUAUGUUGUCCACUUUGGGUGGAAAUAUUAUCAGAUUUUACGAAAGGAAGUCGAAUAAGAAGAAAACACAAUCAAACGAUUAAUAGUAAGAAAAAAAAAUCGUUACCAACAAUUCACAAAAAGAGAAAAAGAAUAUUCAGAAGAUUCAAUUUCAUCGACUGUAAAUGAGAUUUGUAGGCAAUUUCGUUGAGGAUUUUCUAUAGAUAUAUUAGGGGUUCUUCAAAUAUUUGAGAAGAGAAGAAGAAAUCAAAGUCUCAAAGAAAUAUAUGGGUAACGACAGUGAAAAGCUGCUUUCCUAUAUCUAUCUAUACCACUUGUAGAUAUUUACCAAACAACAAAAAAUGAGAUAGUGAACAGUAGUGAACCAAUUUAGGUAUGAAUUAGAGGUUUGAAGAAUGAAUGGUAAAUUGGGAUUCCUUUAAAUAUUUAAACACUAAGAAUUACUUUUACAUAAUGCAUGAAAUACAAAUUUCAGUUCAUUCUUAUGAUUCUCCUUCAAGCUUAUUGAAAGUGAAAUUGUAUUUAACAGUUUUUUCUUCAAAGGGAAGUACAACUGUAAAACAAUAGAAAAUUUGAACAUAAACCGAGUAGAAAUCAAAAGAAUGAAAAAUUUUCUUUUAAAAAGACCUUAUUAAACAAAGACUAUACAUUUAGAAUCA
rnacentral:lncRNA from 1 species